rnacentral:rRNA from 1 species
GGCAGUCGAGCGAAUGGAUUGAGAGCUUGCUCUCAAGAAGUUAGCGGCGGACGGGUGAGUAACACGUGGGUAACCUGCCCAUAAGACUGGGAUAACUCCGGGAAACCGGGGCUAAUACCGGAUAACAUUUUGAACUGCAUGGUUCGAAAUUGAAAGGCGGCUUCGGCUGUCACUUAUGGAUGGACCCGCGUCGCAUUAGCUAGUUGGUGAGGUAACGGCUCACCAAGGCAACGAUGCGUAGCCGACCUGAGAGGGUGAUCGGCCACACUGGGACUGAGACACGGCCCAGACUCCUACGGGAGGCAGCAGUAGGGAAUCUUCCGCAAUGGACGAAAGUCUGACGGAGCAACGCCGCGUGAGUGAUGAAGGCUUUCGGGUCGUAAAACUCUGUUGUUAGGGAAGAACAAGUGCUAGUUGAAUAAGCUGGCACCUUGACGGUACCUAACCAGAAAGCCACGGCUAACUACGUGCCAGCAGCCGCGGUAAUACGUAGGUGGCAAGCGUUAUCCGGAAUUAUUGGGCGUAAAGCGCGCGCAGGUGGUUUCUUAAGUCUGAUGUGAAAGCCCACGGCUCAACCGUGGAGGGUCAUUGGAAACUGGGAGACUUGAGUGCAGAAGAGGAAAGUGGAAUUCCAUGUGUAGCGGUGAAAUGCGUAGAGAUAUGGAGG